rnacentral:rRNA from 1 species
GACGAACGCUGGCGGCGUGCUUAACACAUGCAAGUCGAACGGAAAGGCCCUGCUUGCAGGGUACUCGAGUGGCGAACGGGUGAGUAACACGUGGGUGAUCUGCCCUGCACUUCGGGAUAAGCUUGGGAAACUGGGUCUAAUACCGGAUAGGACCGCACUUUAGUGUGUGUGGUGGAAAGUUUUUUCGGUGUAGGAUGAGCUCGCGGCCUAUCAGCUUGUUGGUGGGGUAAUGGCCUACCAAGGCGGCGACGGGUAGCCGGCCUGAGAGGGUGUACGGCCACAUUGGGACUGAGAUACGGCCCAGACUCCUACGGGAGGCAGCAGGGGGGAAUAUUGCACAAUGGGCGCAAGCCUGAUGCAGCGACGCCGCGGGGGGGAUGAAGGCCUUCGGGUUGUAAACUCCUUUCGCUAGGGACGAAGCUUUUUGUGACGGUACCUAGAGAAGAAGCACCGGCUAACUACGUG